ensembl:lncRNA
GGGGCCACAGGGGCGUGUGGGGCAGCCAGGCCCCCCUGGAGAACCGGGCCGCCCUGGACUACCUGGACCUCCAGGACCUGUGGGACCACGAGGGCCACCAGGAGAGAGCGUUGAGCAGCCAGGCAAGAAGGGGGACAGGGUGAGUGCCCCCUGAAUCUACACAUCUUGGAGUCCCAGGCACAGGGACCUCCUCCCAGCCACAGCGGGAGAGGGGGGACCUGGGAGGAGUAUGGCCCUGCUGUGAUGCUCCUCUCUCCUGCAGGGCUUCCCUGGAGCUGAUGGGCGGCCGGGGCUUCCUGGCCCCUCCGGGAACCCUGGGUCCCCUGGCCAGCCGGUGAGUGUGGAUGUACCCAUGGGUUUGCUGGUGCUGAUCAAGCCUUGACCAAUGGGCUCUAUCCAUCCAUCAGCCUACCUUGCCUGCUCCCUAAGCUCUCUUCCUACCCAUUCUCUGUGCUGGGGUGGUCUCCCUUGUUGGUGGGAUCAUUGAUGUCUCCACGCCAUCCCAUCCUAACCCAUGCCAUCCCAUCUCAACCUGUGCCAUGCCUUCCCAUGCCAUGCCAUGCCAUGCCAUGUCAUGUCAUCCCAUCCCUGCUUCACUGGCUGGCAGGGACAAUGCUUUCACCUCUUGUUCUGCUGUUUUCCAGGGCAACCAGGGCAUUCCUGGCCCCCGAGGGGAUCCUGGGCCACGGGGAACAACGGGGCAUCCUGGCCUGAAGGGGGAAAAAGGCGAGCCGGUAGGUGCUGGGCAGAGGGCCACAGGUGGACAUCUUAUCCCUUCUGCCUCCUAAGCUUGGCACUGGGGAGAGACUUGGCAGGGAGUAUGGUGGCACUGAUUUUCUUCUUUUUUUUUAAUUACUUUUUCCCCUCAUUCAGGGAGAGCCCAGAGUGAUCGUGGAUGGAGCACAGGGGUUGCCAGGACGGAAAGGGGAGCCAGGCACACCGGGUAGCCCCGGUCCCCCUGGCAACCCUGGCCCACGAGGUCCCUUUGGUGACCCAGGUCCUCCGGGUCCCCUUGGGCCAAUGGGGCCACCAGGACCUCCAGGAGACUCUGUGAAGGUAAGUCCCAGCUGGUGCUGUGUGGGGAUGGAGAGACAGCUGGCACCUUGAAGAUGCUUCUCAUGCAGAGCUCCUGGUCCUGCAUGGCUGUAUUCAUUGUCUGUGACACACACAUCAUCCAUCCUUAUCAUGAGCAUGGCUCAUGCCCUGACCCUACUGCUGAUGUGCUCUGCCCAUCGUUACCCCCAUCGUUUGAGGGGGGGCAUGAAGAGAGCCCAGCCCCGCCCUUACCUGCUCUCUUUUACCUUGUAGGGGGAGAAGGGUGAUCGAGGGGAGAGGGUAAGUGUCCAUGUUGGCUUGGUACCUCUGCCUCCCAGGGCACUGGAAAGGGCUGAGCUAUGGGGCUGCCAUGCAGGAGCUCAGCCCUCUUUCCAUAGGGUCCCCCUGGACUGGUCGAUGGGGCAGUGCCUCGAGGGGAGCCAGGCCCUCCGGUGAGUGCUCGGCUCAGGGUGGGGAGCAGGGCUGUGAGUCCUCCCAGGGGCUGAGCUGUGCCCC